AGAGUUUGAUCAUGGCUCAGAUUGAACGCUGGCGGCAGGCCUAACACAUGCAAGUCGAACGGUAACAGGAAGCAGCUUGCUGCUUCGCUGACGAGUGGCGGACGGGUGAGUAAUGUCUGGGAAACUGCCUGAUGGAGGGGGAUAACUACUGGAAACGGUGGCUAAUACCGCAUAACGUCGCAAGACCAAAGAGGGGGACCUUCGGGCCUCUUGCCAUCAGAUGUGCCCAGAUGGGAUUAGCUUGUUGGUGAGGUAACGGCUCACCAAGGCGACGAUCCCUAGCUGGUCUGAGAGGAUGACCAGCCACACUGGAACUGAGACACGGUCCAGACUCCUACGGGAGGCAGCAGUGGGGAAUAUUGCACAAUGGGCGCAAGCCUGAUGCAGCCAUGCCGCGUGUAUGAAGAAGGCCUUCGGGUUGUAAAGUACUUUCAGCGGGGAGGAAGGUGUUGUGGUUAAUAACCGCAGCAAUUGACGUUACCCGCAGAAGAAGCACCGGCUAACUCCGUGCCAGCAGCCGCGGUAAUACGGAGGGUGCAAGCGUUAAUCGGAAUUACUGGGCGUAAAGCGCACGCAGGCGGUCUGUCAAGUCGGAUGUGAAAUCCCCGGGCUCAACCUGGGAACUGCAUUCGAAACUGGCAGGCUUGAGUCUUGUAGAGGGGGGUAGAAUUCCAGGUGUAGCGGUGAAAUGCGUAGAGAUCUGGAGGAAUACCGGUGGCGAAGGCGGCCCCCUGGACAAAGACUGACGCUCAGGUGCGAAAGCGUGGGGAGCAAACAGGAUUAGAUACCCUGGUAGUCCACGCCGUAAACGAUGUCUACUUGGAGGUUGUGCCCUUGAGGCGUGGCUUCCGGAGCUAACGCGUUAAGUAGACCGCCUGGGGAGUACGGCCGCAAGGUUAAAACUCAAAUGAAUUGACGGGGGCCCGCACAAGCGGUGGAGCAUGUGGUUUAAUUCGAUGCAACGCGAAGAACCUUACCUGGUCUUGACAUCCACAGAAGAAUCCAGAGAUGGAUUUGUGCCUUCGGGAACUGUGAGACAGGUGCUGCAUGGCUGUCGUCAGCUCGUGUUGUGAAAUGUUGGGUUAAGUCCCGCAACGAGCGCAACCCUUAUCCUUUGUUGCCAGC
rnacentral:rRNA from 1 species